AUGGCGGGUGACGCUAGUGCAGCGGGAGGGCCUGGAGGCCCCAGGGACCCUGGAAUGGGAGGCUGUGGUGGUUUCCAUGGAGGCUUCAGCAGUGGCAUUCGAGGCUGGGGUCACAGAAGCAAGGCCGAGGACAAAGAGUGGAUGUCUGUCACCAACCUGGGCCGCCUGGUCAAGGACAUGAAGAUCAAAUCCCUGGAGAUCUAUCUUUUCUCCCUGCCCAUUAAGGAAUCUGAGAUCAUUGAUUUUUCUUGGGGCAUCUCUCAAGGAUGAGGUUUUGAAGAUUAUGCCAGUGCAAAAACAGACCCGUGCUAGCCAGAGGACCAUGUUCAAGGCGUUUGUUGCCAUUGGGCACUACAAUGGCCAUGCCAGUCUGGGUGUUAAGUGUUCCAAUUAAGUAGCCACUGCCAUCUGAGGGGCCAUCAUUCUGGCCAAGCUCUAUUGUCCCAGUGCAGAGAGGCUACUGGGGGAAUAAGAUCGGCAAGCCUCACACUGUUCCUUGCAAGGUGACAGGCCGCUGUGGCUCUCUGCUUGUACGUCUCAUCCCUGCUCCUAGAGGAACUGGCAUUGUCUCAGCACCUGUGCCUAAGAAGCUGCUAAUGAUGGCUGGGAUCGAUGACUGCUGCACUUCAGGCAGGGGCUACACUGCCACCCUGGGCAACUUUGCCAAGGCCACUUUUGAUGCCAUUUCCAAGACCUAUAGCUAUCUCCUGAUCUCUGGAAAGAGACAGUGUUCACCAAGUCUCCUUACCAAGAAUUCACUGACCAUCUUGUAAAGACCCACACCAGAGUCUCUGCAGAGGACCCAGGCUCCAGCUGUGGCUACAACAUAGGGUUUUUAUACAAGAAUAAAGUGAAUUAAGUCUGUUAAAAAA